rnacentral:rRNA from 1 species
UACGUAGGGUGCGAGCGUUGUCCGGAAUUAUUGGGCGUAAAGAGCUUGUAGGCGGUCUGUCGCGUCUGCUGUGAAAAUCCGGGGCUCAACCCCGGACUUGCAGUGGGUACGGGCAGACUAGAGUGUGGUAGGGGAGACUGGAAUUCCUGGUGUAGCGGUGAAAUGCGUAGAUAUCUGGAGGAAUACCGGUGGCGAAGGCGGCGUCCUGGACCGACAUUGACGCUGAUGAGCGAAAGCUAGGGGAGCAAACGGG